UACAGUUUUCCUUACAUCUUUGGCUCAGGUCUUCUGUCCUUUUCUUUGUCUUCCAGAAAAAAUGAAAUCUGGUUUCAUGGAUGGAUUUUAAAUCUAUGGACCUGGUGCAAAGCCUUCAGCACAUUCCCUUCAACCUAUCAUUUGGAACUGAGCAUCUAUUGUGUCUCAGGAAUGAUUUGGAUGCUGGACAAGCAGCAGUGAGAACACACUUCAGUGUUUCUGACUUACAAGGAGGAGACAUACUGGAUAAAUGAAUAUACAGCAAGUCUUUUUCAAGACGGGGUCUCAGCUACAUAGUGAACUGAAACUCACUCUACAGACGAGGCUGGCCUUGAACUCACAGAGAUCUGCCUGCCUCUGCCUCCCAAGUGCUCUCCUGGCUGUAAGAAUUGCUCCUUCUGGGGCUGGAGAGAUGGUUCAGUGGUUAAGAGCACUCACUGCUCUUCCAGAGGUCCUGAGUUCAAAUCCCAGCACCCACAUGGUGGCUCACAACCAUCUGUAAUGGGAUCUGAUGCCCUCUUCUGGUGUGUCUGAAGACAGCUACAGUGUACUCAUAAAUAAAAUAAAUAAAUAAAUAAAAAACUACA